rnacentral:rRNA from 1 species
AGAGUUUGAUCCUGGCUCAGAGCGAACGUUAGCGGUGUGGAUUAGGCAUGCAAGUCGCGCGCGAAAGUCCGCAAGGAUGAGUAAAGCGGCGAAAGGGUGAGUAACACGUAAUCAACCAACCCCCGAGAUCGGAAUAACCACUGGAAACGGUGGCUAAUGCUGGAUGACCCUGCGAGGAGGCAUCUUCUUGCAGGUAAAUGGUGGCGCAAGCUGCUGUUCGGGGACGGGAUUGCGGCCUAUCAGCUAGUUGGCGGGGUAGUGGCCCACCAAGGCGAUGACGGGUAGCCGAUCUGAGAGGAUGACCGGCCACACUGGGACUGAGAACUGCCCAGACUCCUACGGGAGGCUGCAGUCGAGGAUCUUCCGCAAUGGGCGAAAGCCUGACGGAGCGACACCGCGUGCAGGAUGAAGGCCUUCGGGUUGUAAACUGCUGUCACGCUAUAGGAAACCUCGGAUGUGAACAGCAUCCGAGCUGACUAAAGCGAGAGGAAGCACCGGCUAACUCUGUGCCAGCAGCCGCGGUAAUACAGAGGGUGCAAACGUUGCUCGGAAUCACUGGGCAUAAAGCGCAUGUAGGCGGUCCACUAAGUCUGGUGUGAAAUCCCUCGGCUCAACCGGGGAACUGCAUUGGAUACUGGUGGGCUUGAGAGUUGUAGGGGUGGACGGAACUCCAGGUGGAGCGGUGAAAUGCGUAGAUAUCUGGAGGAACACCGGAGGCGAAAGCGGUCCACUGGGCAACUUCUGACGCUGAGAUGCGAAAGCUAGGGUAGCAAACGGGAUUAGAUACCCCGGUAGUCCUAGCCGUAAACGAUGGGCACUGGGCAGGGGAGGUACCUAUGUCCUUCCUUGCCGUAGCUAAUGUGUUAAGUGCCCCGCCUGGGGAGUACGCUCGCAAGGGUAAAACUCAAAGGAAUUGACGG